rnacentral:rRNA from 1 species
GACGAACGCUGGCGGCGUGCUUAACACAUGCAAGUCGAACGGAAAGGCCCUGCUUUUGUGGGGUGCUCGAGUGGCGAACGGGUGAGUAACACGUGAGUAACCUGCCCUUGACUUUGGGAUAACUUCAGGAAACUGGGGCUACUACCGGAUAGGAGCUCCUGCUGCAUGGUGGGGGUUGGAAAGUUUCGGCGGUUGGGGAUGGACUCGCGGCUUAUCAGCUUGUUGGUGGGGUAGUGGCUUACCAAGGCUUUGACGGGUAGCCGGCCUGAGAGGGUGACCGGCCACAUUGGGACUGAGAUACGGCCCAGACUCCUACGGGAGGCAGCAGUGGGGAAUAUUGCACAAUGGGCGGAAGCCUGAUGCAGCAACGCCGCGUGCGGGAUGAAGGCCUUCGGGUUGUAAACCGCUUUCGCCUGUGACGAAGCGUGAGUGACGGUAAUGGGUAAAGAAGCACCGGCUAACUACGUG